rnacentral:rRNA from 1 species
AGUGAACGCUGGCGGUAGGCCUAACACAUGCAAGUCGAACGGCAGCACAGUAAGAGCUUGCUCUUACGGGUGGCGAGUGGCGGACGGGUGAGGAAUACAUCGGCAUCUACUUUUUCGUGGGGGAUAACGUAGGGAAACUUACGCUAAUACCGCAUACGACCUACGGGUGAAAGCAGGGGAUCUUCGGACCUUGCGCGAUUGAAUGAGCCGGUGUCGGAUUAGCUAGUUGGCGGGGUAAAGGCACACCAGGGCGACGAUCCGUAGCUGGUCUGAGGGGAUGGUCGGCCCCACUGGACCUGGGAACCGGUCCAGCCCCCUCCGGGAGGCGGCAGUGGGGAAUUUCGGACAAUGGGCGCAAGCCUGCUCCAGCCAUACCGCGUGGGUGAAGAAGGCCUUCGGGUGGUAAAGCCCUUUUGUUGGGAAAGAAAAGCGGCAGGUUAAUACCCCGCUGUUCUGCCGUUACCCAAAGAAUAAGCACCGGCUACCUUCGU